AGAGUAAAGCUUAAGUAAGAUAAGUUUUCAUUUACAUUGAAAGGAAGUUUGUGCAAAUCAAGUUAC
rnacentral:tRNA from 1 species